UCUGACAGUCUCCCGCAUAAUACGGUGCAUCUCGAUGCAAUUUCCAAUCAAGCUUGAUGGACUGGUGCAUAUUGAUUUCGUAAUGAUCUUGAACCUGUACCUGUAUCAAUACCUAUAUCACAGUGUCUCGACGUGUGUUAUCUGGAACGGAUCCGACGGCGUUUUUGUCAGGAAGUUACGCCUAACAUCUACAAUGCCUUAAUAUAACUCGAGGUAGCGAAACUCGUUGCUUUCCAAGCAACAUUAGCCGAUGGUGGGAUCUUGUCUUCUACCAAUCCUGGAGCAGAAGAUGUUCGCGGGAAGGUGCGACACGGUACACGCGAGUAAUGGGUGGGGAUUCGGUGAUGCGGUUCCUGGAGGAAUUUCGGGAUCAAAGCGGCCCGAGAGCGCGAAUCCUGCACCGCGUGAUCCAGUCUACGAUCGCACGUAGAGCGGCGAGGAACGCAUUCCUGGAUCCGAGUGAUCUUCAAGACGGAAAGCUCAAAGUGUUUUUCAUGUAAUAACUUUUAUAAUCGGAAAUAGAUUGUCUUUAGCCUAACGGCAAAAUACGCAAUUAGUUCGUGAGAAUCCAAGCGUUCAGCUGCCCAUACCGUCAAAAAAAAAAAAAAAAUAAUGCCAAACGCGGGCCACGAGACGACGAACCUUCUGAUGACGUACCUCAUCCUUAUUCUUCUAUUAAUCUCACUUUGGGUAUUAUACUCGGGGUUGUUUUUUUAAGUACAACAGACAUUCCUCACCAUGGGUUGAACAAAGGAGAAAACACGUGUCGAAAGGCGGAUGCAUUCAGAGAAUCCAAGAUCGUCACGGACAACCUCUCGUUCGGAGCUCGCCAGUUCUCAUUUAUUACAUUUUCAUUUACAAUCUAGGCGCCUGGAGACAUGUUUAUCCACGAUAAUCAUCUUUGACUGUUAGUGACCGAUUUCCGCGAUGGGAACUGUACAAAAAUAUAUUUAUCGGGCAACAGGAAAAAUUUUCAAACUUUGUUUCACUAUCGUGUCUCUCACUUCAAUUUCUUGCCACCUCGUCGUGGAAAUCGGCUAUCUUAAUAUUACACUAAUUAUAUCUCCUUAGAUAAUUAGUUAUAAAUACAUUUUUUGAAUUUAAAAUAAUAUUUAUUAUUUCACGAGCGUUUACAGCUACAAUUCGCAUCGUCAUUGAAUUGUGCUCUCGUUUGAAGUUAUAUAAAUAUAUCAGUUUGUUUCACCUGCGUUCGUGUAUGUUCGGAUGCUUCUCGUUUACCUUCAAUUGCAAUAUUAAAAAUGUACUAUGAAAAGUUUCGAAAAAUUUGUUUUGUAAUAUAUACUUUCAACAUACUGCAAACGAUAAAAUAAAAUCUCUUUGUUUGGAA